rnacentral:rRNA from 1 species
AGUGAACGCUGGCGGUAGGCCUAACACAUGCAAGUCGAACGGCAGCACAGUAAGAGCUUGCUCUUACGGGUGGCGAGUGGCGGACGGGUGAGGAAUACAUCGGAAUCUACUUUUUCGUGGGGGAUAACGUAGGGAAACUUACGCUAAUACCGCAUACGACCUACGGGUGAAAGCAGGGGAUCUUCGGACCUUGCGCGGUUGAAUGAGCCGAUGUCGGAUUAGCUAGUUGGCGGGGUAAAGGCCCACCAAGGCGACGAUCCGUAGCUGGUCUGAGAGGAUGAUCAGCCACACUGGAACUGAGACACGCUCCAGACUCCUACGGGAGGCAGCAGUGGGGAAUAUUGGACAAUGGGCGCAAGCCUGAUCCAGCCAUACCGCGUGGGUGAAGAAGGCCUUCGGGUUGUAAAGCCCUUUUGUUGGGAAAGAAAAGCAGCAGGUUAAUACCCAGCUGUUCUGACGGUACCCAAAGAAUAAGCACCGGCUAACUUCGUG